GAUGAACGCUGGCGGCGUGCCUAAUACAUGCAAGUCGAGCGAACGGACGAGAAGCUUGCUUCUCUGAUGUUAGCGGCGGACGGGUGAGUAACACGUGGAUAACCUACCUAUAAGACUGGGAUAGCUUCGGGAAACCGGAGCUAAUACCGGAUAAUAUUUUGAACCGCAUGGUUCAAAAGUGAAAGACGGUCUUGCUGUCACUUAUAGAUGGAUCCGCGCUGCAUUAGCUAGUUGGUAAGGUAACGGCUUACCAAGGCAACGAUGCAUAGCCGACCUGAGAGGGUGAUCGGCCACACUGGAACUGAGACACGGUCCAGACUCCUACGGGAGGCAGCAGUAGGGAAUCUUCCGCAAUGGGCGAAAGCCUGACGGAGCAACGCCGCGUGAGUGAUGAAGGUCUUCGGAUCGUAAAACUCUGUUAUUAGGGAAGAACAUAUGUGUAAGUAACUGUGCACAUCUUGACGGUACCUAAUCAGGAAGCCACGGCUAACUACGUG
rnacentral:rRNA from 1 species